rnacentral:rRNA from 1 species
GCUUGUCUCAAAGAUUAAGCCAUGCAUGUCUAAGUGUAAAUACGUCUACACUGUGAAACUGCGAAUGGCUCAUUAAAUCAGUUAUCGUUUAUUUGAUGAUCUCUUGUUACAUGGAUAACCGUAGUAAUUCUAGAGCUAAUACAUGCGUCAAGUCCGAGGCCUCGCGCCGAGGACGUAUUUAUUAGAUUAAAACCGCCCCUUAACCGGGCUCUGGUGAAUCAUAAUAACUGAUCGAACCGUAUGCUCACGCGACGGUGGUUCAUUCAAGUUUCUGCCCUAUCAGCUUUCGAUGGUAGGGUAUUGGCCUACCAUGGCGUUAACGGGUAACGGAGAAUUAGGGUUCGAUUCCGGAGAGGGAGCCUGAGAGAUGGCUACCACAUCCAAGGAAGGCAGCAGG